UGGGAUGUGGCUCCGUGGUAGAGUGCUUGCCUAGCAUGCAUGGGGCACUGGGUUCAAUCCUCAGCACCACAU
rnacentral:tRNA from 1 species